rnacentral:tRNA from 1 species
ACCCGUCUAGCUCAGUUAUUAGAGCGCUGGCCUUUUAAGCCAGUGGUCCUAGGGUUUGAGCCCCACGGUGGUG